rnacentral:rRNA from 1 species
CCUACGGGUGGCUGCAGUGAGGAAUAUUGGUCAAUGGGCGCGAGCCUGAACCAGCCAAGUAGCGUGAAGGAUGACUGCCCUACGGGUUGUAAACUUCUUUUAUAAAGGAAUAAAGUGAGGCACGUGUGCCUUUUUGUAUGUACUUUAUGAAUAAGGAUCGGCUAACUCCGUGCCAGCAGCCGCGGUAAUACGGAGGUGGCAAGCGUUGUCCGGAUUUACUGGGUGUAAAGGGCGUGUAGCCGGGAAGGCAAGUCAGAUGUGAAAUCUGGAGGCUCAACCGUAAAAUUGCAAUUGAUACUGGCAGUCUUGAGUACAGUUGAGGUAGGCGGAAUUCGUGGUGUAGCGGUGAAAUGCUUAGAUAUCACGAAGAACUCCGAUUGCGAAGGCAGCUUACUAAACUGCCACUGACAUUGAUGCUCGAAAGUGUGGGUAUCAAACAGGAUUAGAUACCCCUGUAGUC